ACGCUCGACACCUACAGGAGGCAGCAGUAGGGAAUCUUCCACAAUGGGCGCAAGCCUGAUGGAGCAACACCGCGUGAGUGAAGAAGGGUUUCGGCUCGUAAAGCUCUGUUGUUGGAGAAGAACGUGCGUGAGAGUAACUGUUCACGCAGUGACGGUAUCCAACCAGAAAGUCACGGCUAACUACGUGCCAUCAGCCGCGGUAAUCUGAGCGGGCUGGCAAGGC
rnacentral:rRNA from 1 species